CGGGACGGGUGAGUAAUGUCUGGGAAACUGCCUGAUGGAGGGGGAUAACUACUGGAAACGGUAGCUAAUACCGCAUAAUGUCGCAAGACCAAAGAGGGGGACCUUCGGGCCUCUUGCCAUCGGAUGUGCCCAGAUGGGAUUAGCUUGUUGGUGGGGUAACGGCUCACCAAGGCGACGAUCCCUAGCUGGUCUGAGAGGAUGACCAGCCACACUGGAACUGAGACACGGUCCAG
rnacentral:rRNA from 1 species